rnacentral:rRNA from 1 species
GAUGAACGCUGGCGGCGUGCCUAAUACAUGCAAGUCGAGCGAACGGACGAGAAGUUUGUUGCUCUGAUGUUAUCGGCGGACGGGUGAGUAACACGUGGAUAACCUACCUAUAAGACUGGGAUAACUUCGGGAAACCGGAGCUAAUACCGGAUAAUAUUUUGAACCGCAUGGUUCAAAAGUGAAAGACGGUCUUGCUGUCACUUAUAGAUGGAUCCGAGCUGCAUUAGCUAGUUGGUAAGGUAACGGCUUACCAAGGCAACGAUGCAUAGCCGUCCUGGGAGGGUGAUCGGCGACGGUGACACUGAGACACGGUCCAGACUCCUACGGGAGGCAGCAGUAGGGAAUCUGCCGCAAUGGGCGAAAGCCUGACGGAGCAGCGGCGCGUGAGUGAUGAAGGUCUUCGGAUCGUAAAACUCUGUUAUUAGGGAAGAACAUAUGUGUAAGUAACUGUGCACAUCUUGACGGUACCUAAUCAGAAAGCCACGGCUAACUACGUG